CGGGGGAGCAAGCGUUGUUCGGAUUUACUGGGCGUAAAGGGCGCGUAGGCGGCCACCGCAAGUCGACUGUGAAAUCUCCGGGCUUAACCCGGAAAGGUCAGCCGAUACUGCGGGGCUAGAGUGCAGAAGGGGGCAGCUGGAAUUCUCGGUGUAGCGGUGAAAUGCGUAGAUAUCGAGAGGAACACCUGCGGCGAAGGCGGGUUGCUGGGCUGACACUGACGCUGAUGCGCGAAAGCUAGGGGAGCGAACGGGAUUAGAUACCCCGGUAGUCCUAGCCUUAAACGAUGAAUGCUUGGUGUCUGGGGUUUUAUAGUCCCCGGGUGCCGUCGCUAACGCUUUAAGCAUUCCGCCUGGGGAGUACGGUCGCAAGACUG
rnacentral:rRNA from 1 species